rnacentral:rRNA from 1 species
UACGUAGGGUCCAAGCGUUAUCCGGAAUCACUGGGCGUAAAGCGUGCGUAGGUGGCGCGUUAAGUGAGAUGUUAAAUCGUGUGGCUCAACCAUAUCGUUGCAUCUCAUACUGGCGUGCUUGAGGACAGCAGAGGCAAGUGGAAUUUGUAGUGUAGCAGUGAAAUGCGUAGAUAUUACAAGGAACACCAAUGGCGAAGGCAGCUUGCUGGGCUACUCCUGACACUGAGGUACGAAAGCGUGGGGAGCGAACAGG